AUGGCAGAGCUGGCAAUUUCUGAGCCUGGGCCUGUGCUCUCCAUCGUGGGGGGGAAGGGGGGCACAUGGGGCCACAGACACCAGGACCCCCUCCUCCCUGCACCCCGUCCUGCCCCAGAGUGACAUAGCUGGGGUCGGGGGUCGGAGUCCUUCCCACAGGGAGAUCCAGAUCUGACUGACACACAGGUCCCCAGAUACCUUGGGAACCAAACGAGCUGCCUUGAUUGAAAUUUCAGAUUUUUCAACUAUAAACCUCAACAGGGAAACCAUCUUUGCCUAAAAAAAUACCUCACUUUGGGGUGCUGACCAUGUCCUGUCUUCUAUAUGAAUGCUGCAUUCACAGUUAUUACAUCUAUAAAAGUUCCGGAGCCAUACACUUAUAAUACGUCCGCUUUUCUGUAUUAAAUUAGAUUUCAAUAGAACACUUUUUUUAAAAAACUACAUUUCAAGGCAAUUUUCCCGAGAAAGGCUUUCCUAGCAACUGCUUUUGAGCCAUUCAACUCCUUCUCGGGGGCUUCAGGCGACUAGAACCUUGGUCCUCGUUUACAUCAGAAACACAAUAUUUAAGGAAUAAUUUCUCUUUAAGAUGAUUUAUAAGUAAUGGAGCGCUUUUACAAAGAACAUGACAGCACUUUAUGAACUGAUAUAAACAAAUCUCGAAAACACGCCGUUCGGGUGCGGCGUCAGCUCUGUAAUCAGGGGCACUCGGUGUUACUUGAGAAAAUACAGGAAGGAAGACGAUGUACGUUGGUGUUUGCGUGUGCAUGGAUGUGCCCUGGUCACGGAGGCCAACACUCCGACGCCCCUGGGGAGGGGGACUUCUGGACGGCUGAGGGUGGGGCUGGGAGAAAGAUGCUUCUUUCCAUUCUAUCUGUUUUUAUUCUUCUGAAUUUUAUUCCCAGUGAAUUAUUACUUAUUAAAAAUUAAUUUGAUUUUAAAAAGGUCAAGUCUUCUAAAGAGAAGGCCGUGUUUUCUGUCGUCACCCAUUCGCAAAUCCACCCCCUUUCCAUGGGCCUCUCUUCCCUAAAAGGAAGAGUUCAGAGACGAUUCCCGCCAACUCCAUCUGUAACAUCAGAUGGCAAACACCGUAAUCUCGAGGGGCUUGCUCUUCAAGAACUGAAAAAUACAGAUCAUUCUUUUUGCAUUAAAAAUAUGCAGGAAUGCCCAUACUUACCGCACAUGCUGAUCAAAAUUCCCCAAGGAACACAGUCAGUGCUCCUGCUCCCAAUUUUAAAAGCAUAUUUAAGCCGUGGAAACAGGACGAACACUUCUCAAAAAAUAAACAUAGAUUUUGCAUAUGAUCCAGCAAUUCCACUCCUGGGUAUAGCUGAGUACUGAAAGCCCAGUACCAGAGAGAGAUUUGCACACCCAUGUUCAGAGCAGACUAUUCACAGUGGCUGAAACACGGAAGCAAUGCGGUGUCCGUCGAUGGAAGAAUGGAUAAGAAAGUGUGGUCUGUUCACACAAAAGAGAUGAUUCAGCCUUAAGACGAGAGGUCAUUCUGACGUAUUACAAUGUGGAUGAGACUUGAAGACACACCAAAUAAGCCAGAUAUGAAAGGAUAAAUCCUGUCGGAUCCACUUUGAGAGGUCCCUGGACUCAUCAAAGUCAUGGAGACGGAGAGCAGGAGCGUGGGCGCCAGGGGCUGGGGAGAGGUGGGAGCUGGUGUUUCAUGGGGACAGAGCUUCUGUUGGGGAAGAUGGAAAUUUCUAGAGGUGGGCGGUGGUGAUGGCUGCACGACAGUGUAAACUGGCACGGAAAUGAUGACACAAGGGACGGCCCAGUGACACCUGUGUGGAUGGUUGACAGCACAAGCUGCAGUAAAACCACAAGGCGGGUGCAGGGCGACCCACACGACCGCGGAGGAAACUGAGGUCCAGAGAAGUGAAGUGGUGUGCGGAGCAGUCUCAGAAAUGGAGGACAGCCCCGGUGCAUUCACACUCGGCGUCCUCCCUGCUGCGCCAGCCCCCAGCGGCUCAAAAGCAGAGGUUCGCCCAGAAAUGGGAGGAGGGCCCAGGACAACCACCGCUAUAGAAGAAACUCUGGGCAUGGGCAUCAGCACUACCAGAAGCCCAGGAAGCCCCACAAGCAUUGAGCACCUGCAGUAUGCCCACUGCAGCCGCUGGAUUCUAAAGUGAGUAGGAAGGGGGCGUUUCAGAGAUUGGGGGCUGCUCGACGAUGGAGCAGGGACAUCGGACAGGGCACUAGGGAGCAUGACUUGUUUAUUCCGUGGAGUGAAGAAGAAAUGGGGAAAGGUUUGGCCUGGGAAGAAACCAGAAGGCGGAGCCAGAUUGUCGAGGCCCCUGUGUGUUACACUAGGUGUAUCGGUCAGCUGCUGCCUUAGGAGAAACAUCCCCAAGCCUCGUGGUGGUCACGUCUGACAUGUCUGCAGGCACACUGGACAGAGAGCUCUGUGCUCUGGGCCCAUCCUCUCAUCUCUACCGGGCUCCUACUGAGCGUGGCGGACAUCUGGCUGGUGGGGGGCUGUCUCAGGGGGCUCUCCCCCAUCCAAGUGAUCUGUGACCCUCCAGGAGGCUCCCCCAGCUUGUUCUCAUGGUGGAAGCGGAGGCAAACUGUGAGGGCAGAAGGCCACCACUCACCGCUGUCUGCAGAGUCCAGCAGAGUGCCUGGAAUUCAGCAGGUGCUCAGUGAAUAUUUGUUAAAAGAAUAAAUGAAUGAAGAAUUCCGAAACAAUAAUCACUAAGGUUAAAAAUACAUACGUAUCUGCAAGUGCACAUGGGGAUGGCAAAAAGCAUGACUGCUCCAAAUCAAGAAACAAAAUUAAACUUCUCUUUAAGAUGCUAUAUGUCAGCGAGGUCCUUCCCCUCAGUCCCCUCAGUCCCCAUAGCCCCCACAGCAUCCCCCAGGAACGGGGACCCCUGAAUCACCCCGUCCAUGCUCUGCUUCUCACGGGAGCUUUGGAUUCCCACAGAAUUGGAGCCUGGCUUACAGGUGCUUUCGUUAACAUGCAAACUGAGUGCAGCUCUAACCAGCACCUCCAGCAGGUGUGAGCCCCAAGAGAACCCGCACCCCAGGAAGAGCACCGUGGAUGCGAGCUUCGUGUUCUCUAUUUUGUCUCUGGCUUCUUCACGUGGACAGAAAAUCCCAGGGUGCAUAAGGUGCUGGCUCAGCAGGACAGGACCACCCACAGGGAGGAGGCUCCCCAGGGACACGGAAAGCUCUCUGCCCCUCCUUCUCCUUCUUGCAUCCCUGCUCUCCCCUUCUGUCCCCUCCUGCUCCGCCUGCAGAACAAACACAGCCCAGGUCCCCAGGGACCAGCGCAGACAACCGACAGAUGUUUGGUGAGCCGUGUGAUCGACAGGCAAACGCCUAGGAGGGCCGGGACUGAUGUGAAGCACAGGACAAGCAAAAGGGAGAAAAUUUUUAACCUAAAUAAUGGGCAACUCGAGUUAGAUGUGUGACUAGACGGACAGGACAGACAUAACUUCUGCUGCGAGAAGCAGGAGAGGAGACGCGGAUGGUAUUUCCAGGGAAAUUGGGCAGAGAGCUCCAGAGAGACCUCGGGCAGCGGGGGCCCAGGCUGGAUGCUGGCUCAGCCCUGCACCCGGAGAAGUGGCCAUUCUGUGGAUCCUUCAGGAGUCUUGGCGAUAACUGCCCCACUUCUUCAGGGUGACGAGGGGCAGCCAAGGGGAGACCGUUUGCGGGCCCUCGGAGCUCUCUAGGAAGGGUACAAGGAGCACACAGUGAAGGAGGAAAGAUGGCCUUUUGGGGGCUGAAAGCAGGGGAAAAUGGGCUACUGCAUCGGGACUGCAACUGCAAGAGGGAAGUGACACAGCCGUCUGUUGUGGUAUCCAGGCCUGGAGGCUUGUUCUAGAACAUGAUAGGCUGUCCAGCCUUCAUCGUCCUGGGCUGACCCUUCCCACCUGGGCAUGUGGCUCUGACACAUCAGCGUCUUGUGGGCGGCAUCCAGGAAAGAGAGUGACCAGGGCAGGUGCCAACGCGUAGCUCCAUUCCCUGUCCACUGGUGACAGCCUCCCCCACCCCCAGCUCGGGUGCCCGCCGCCCCCUCCCCUGCAUCCUUGAGGAAGUCUGCUGUCUCCAUGCAGGUCUGUUAUUUCUCUGUGGGGACAGAGAAAAUCCUGUCCAGGUUCUGGGGAAGAAGGGAUAGAAAGACAGCCCCUGAAAAUAAUGCCUGUCCCUUUUACCGGGGAAUCCACAAGAGCAAAGACAGCAAAGCACAGCAAGCAGACGAUGUCUAGACACUCGCCCUACAACGAGCAGCGCUCAGAGACCGGCCGUGCAUGCUGCACUUCAGGCCGGAGCCCCGCGGUGCUCCCAUUGGUCAGCACCUACUUUCACCUUUGUUGCUCUUCACCUGUUUUUAGGUCAUGGCCCACACAGCAGGACAGAGCGGACAGGGCACAGACAGACGGGGGACAGCGGACACACGGGGAGGGGAGGGGAGCAACGAGAAGAAUAAUCUAUGACCUUUGGCACUGGGAAGGGACAGAAAGGUGCAUCCUGGGUGUUCACAGCCCCGCACGAUGGCCACGUGCCCAUCGCAGGAGAGCUGACCUCUUCCGUCCCAAGGUCUGGAUCUGCCUGGGGAUCAGUGGUGUGGACGACACGCUUGGUCCCUGAUGACAUGAGGCCUUCUGUUCCGCAUCUUCUUAUCACCUGCUUGUCCCCGCCCUCGGGAUCCCCCAACUUCUCUUCAAUGCUGCAGAGUCUCCGUAAGUUUGCAUUUCCACGUGCAGAGCACAGCGCUGUGUUUCUCUGCACUGGAUCUAACACCAUCACCUGCACACCUUUUACAGCCGGCAAGGGUCAAGAACAUGUGACACAAAAUACACGAGGUGGAAGGAGGAGGGCCCAGAGCCAUCAGGUGAACUCCAUCAGCACCGCCAUAUUGCAGAAUUCGCUCAGCUCAGAGCGAAAGGCAGCAAGGGCUUGUGCAUGUCCCAUCCCCAUAUAUGGACAAAUCCGUGCUCACUGGGCAAAAGUGUGCUGCUCCCUUUGGAGGAAAGUAUAGAGGAGCGCUCAGAGCUCGGGGAGCACGUAUAAUAAACAGACCGUAAUGGCUUAUUAUAAUGCUUAAAGGAAAUUAUUUCAGAGACAGUGGGGCUACCUUGGGUCAGCCUUACACACAGUAUGCAUGUACAAUCUGUCCGAGUGUGAUCGAAAGACUCUCCUAAAAACAAAGGUGCCGGUGAUUUCUGUAACUCCUUAAUGAGAGGACCACCAAGAUGGCUAAGCCACCGAGAGCAUUUCGGGAAAUGGAUAUUUACAAGCAAUGGGAAAAGAAUGUUGGCCCAAGGUUGCCGGGUCAGCGGUAAAACCGUCAGGUCCUGGAAGGCAACAGCGCCGAAAGGUUCGUAGUUCCCGUUCAUAAAAGUCAGGAGUCAUUUGCAUUCCCGCUAACAAAAAUCUGCAAGUUCAUGUGAAAUUUCACCCAGUAUUGGCCCUGCUCAGUAAAUAAUGUGCCAAACAAAGAUGCAUUCCCCUCAAGAAUCAAGUAAUCUCCAGGCGGCCCCCUUAGAUACUGUUCAAGAAUGACAUUAAAAGAUCAGUAAGACACCCUUCUGCUUUAUUUACAAGGUUUCUAACAAUAAUUCAUCUUAGCAGAAUAUUGGCAAAGGGAGAUAAAGGUACCUUAUUUGCAGAUGAUAUUACUUGUAUGUGGACAAUCCAAGGGUGUCACAGAGAAGCCUGUAGAGCUCGUUAUGGGCUGACUCGGUCCCCCCACAUUCAUUGGUUGAAGAUGCAAACGCCAGUACCUCAGAGAAGCCCUGCAAAGAAGUGAGUUAAAUGAGGUCAUGUGGGUGCCCCUGAGCCAAUAUGGCCGAUGUCCCUGUAAGAGGGGAUCAGGACACAGACACAGCAGGAAGACUUUGUGAGGACACAGGGAGAAGGUGGCCAUCUACACGCCAAAGAGAGGGGCCUCGGGCGGAACCAGCCCUGCUCACACUUUGUGUCCCCAGAGCAAGGGGGCCCCUCACUGCCAUGUCCUGGGCUAGCGGCUGCAUCCCCUGGGGCCAGCGCCUUGUGCCCAUCGACACGGAGGCGCUGUGCAGGCCAGCUGUGCCCCGGGGCAAGGACCCAGAACGCACGAAAGGCUGACGCACCCCACUAACAGAUGCGGAAUGUCACAGAAGAAACUGUGUUCACAUUUGGAAGAAAUGCCAGGAAAUAUUUGGCAACACAUUUAACGGAACACACGCAUAGUCCACGUAAUGAAAAUGAUACAACUUUCCUGAAGGACACACGGGCUUGUGAAAACCAAGACGCAUCUUGUUUCCGGGUGUAAAAGGUGCUAGGUAAGGAUGUGAGACCUCCCAGGCUAAAUAUUAAAUUCAACCCAACUCAAACUGACAUGGCAAAGGAAUUUUUUACUUGAAAUGUUGAUUCUAAAAUUCUACUUGGAAGUGUACAUAAAUAUGUAAAAUUUGCCAAGAAAUUUAUGAAAAUUAAGACUACAUUGGGAGACUUUGCCUAUUUAAUAAAUCAGACUAUAGAGCAAUAUUAAUCAGAACAAUUAAAUGCUGGCACAGAAAUGCACAAGCAGGUCAAUGGGAUGGACAGACAGCUCAACGUGCUCCAAAAUGACCGUUUAUUGUAUUAUAAUACCGUACGUAAGGUAGGUGCCUUUCAAUUCAGUGUGGAAACUUCUCACUACAUACGGUUGGAAAUAAGUUUCCAUCUGAAAACCAGAUUCUUAUGUUUAUUCAUGUUAUACUCAAACACAGGUUCCUGACAAAGAAAAUAUCCACAUGUUUUUAACUAUAAAAAAAGCAGAAGACAGCUCUGUCCACAAUAGCUAAAUCAUGGAAGGAACCGAGAUGCCCUUCAACAGAUGACUGGAUUAAGAAGCUGUGGUCCAUAUAUACAACGGAAUA